rnacentral:rRNA from 1 species
CCUACGGGUGGCAGCAGUAGGGAAUAUUGCUCAAUGGGGGAAACCCUGAAGCAGCAACGCCGCGUGGAGGAUGAAGGUUUUCGGAUUGUAAACUCCUUUUGUUAGAGAAGAUAAUGACGGUAUCUAACGAAUAAGCCCCGGCUAACUCCGUGCCAGCAGCCGCGGUAAUACGGAGGGUGCAAGCGUUACUCGGAAUCACUGGGCGUAAAGAGCGCGUAGGCGGGAUAGCAAGUCAGAUGUGAAAUCCUAGGGCUUAACCAUAGAACUGCAUUUGAAACUGUUAUUCUAGAGUAUGGGAGAGGUAGGUGGAAUUCUUGGUGUAGGGGUAAAAUCCGUAGAGAUCAAGAGGAAUACUCAUUGCGAAGGCGACCUGCUAGAACAUAACUGACGCUGAUGCGCGAAAGCGUGGUGAGCAAACAGGAUUAGAUACCCCAGUAGUC